UUUUAUUUUAUUGUUCAAAAACGAUUACCAACAACGGAGAAGUUAUAAAUGUAAAUUCUUAGUGUGUUAUGUUUGCAAACGUGCAUAUGCUUUGUUGUUCGAACCACCUUUAUCUGCUGUCAUUCUGAGCUGUAGCAACUCAGUUUUUCGAUAAUGAAACAUAUUAUAAUACGUUACAGCAUCUGAUGAUAAAUUAUCGAGUGUUUUAGAGUGUUACGGCAUAGUCUCUGCAAGAUAUUUAGACGAUUGAUGUGUCGCGAUGAGAGUGGUGUGAGUCGGAGUAGAUUUCGGGAGAAUGUGCGGUGGCGUUUAGUGGGUGAGGUCAGACAGGGUUGAGCAUGGAGGCGGUGAUGGAUGAGGAGCGCAUGCAGCGGCUCCACGCGCUGGAGGAGCGUCUUUGCGACCCACGCUCCACCGGCAACGUGGAUUGUCUACUGGACACCGUGACCGCGCUCGUCGCCGACUGUGACCACCCAGCCAUCCGCCGCAUGAAGAACGUUGAAGCCUACACCGGUAGAUAUGAACAAUUUGCUUCAGAAAUAGUGGAUCUACGUAUGAAAGCAGCUGAUUUUGAUUUAAUCAAAGUUAUUGGUCGGGGAGCUUUUGGUGAAGUACAACUAGUCAGACACAAGUCCACACGUCAUGUGUAUGCCAUGAAACUUUUGAGUAAAGUAGAAAUGAUUAAAAGGUCGGAUUCAACAUUCUUUUGGGAAGAAAGGCAUAUCAUGGCACAUGCUAACUCUGAGUGGAUUUUAAAGCUACAUUUUGCUUUCCAAGACCAUAAAUAUCUGUACAUGGUGAUGGACUACAUGCCUGGUGGAGAUCUUGUGAGCCUCAUGUCUAAUUAUGACAUACCUGAAAAAUGGGCAAAGUUUUAUACUAUGGAAAUUGUUUUAGCCUUGGAUGUCAUUCAUGGUAUGGGUUUUGUGCAUAGAGAUGUGAAACCUGAUAACAUGCUCAUUGACAAGUAUGGACACUUAAAACUGGCUGAUUUUGGUACAUGUAUGAGGAUGGGCCCUGAUGGACUAGUACGAGCAAGCAAUGCCGUUGGUACUCCUGACUACAUAUCACCUGAGGUGCUGCAGUCACAGAAUGGUGAGGGAGUCUAUGGUCGUGAAUGCGAUUGGUGGGCUGUGGGAAUAUUUUUGUAUGAAAUGUUAAUAGGUGAUCCACCUUUCUAUGCUGACAGUUUAGUAGGAACUUAUGGAAAAAUUAUGGAUCACAGAAAUUCAUUGCAGUUUCCUGAGGAUGUAGAAAUUUCAAAAGAAGCGAAGUCUCUUAUUAGAGGCUUGUUAACAGAUAGAACAAAGAGAUUGGGAAAAAACAGUGUUGAUGAAAUUAAACAGCAUCCUUUCUUUAUCAAUGAGCAGUGGAGUUUUGAUAAUCUUAGGGAUUCAGUGCCACCAGUUGUGCCAGAGCUGUCCAGUGAUGACGAUACUAGGAACUUUGAUGAUAUUGAAAAAUCUGAUGCACUUGAUGAAUCUUUUCCAGUCCCUAAAGCGUUUGUUGGCAAUCAUUUACCUUUUGUUGGUUUUACCUAUAACGGGGAUUAUCAGCUUUGCUGUGGUAAAAGAGCUGCAGAUGUAGUAGAUACAAUCUCCAAUAAUCAUAUUAAUAAUGUUGGAUCUGAAGCAAUAUUGCAGCUAGAGAAACUUUUAGAAAGAGAACGAGACAGCAGACGUAAAUUAGAAGAUAGACAAAUUACACUGUGUGCCCAGUUAGAGGAAUUAUCCCAGAGAGAAUCAAGAAAUAAGAAGAUUAUAUCUGACACGGACAAAGAAUUGGCAUUAUUGCGCCAUGACCUCAAAGAAAUUCAAAGGAAAGCUGAAGCAGAAGCUGAUAGCAGAAGAAAGGCUGAAGCUAAUUUCAAUGAUGCCAAGAAACGUCUAGAAGAGGAGCAGAGCAAAAGAUCUAAAGAAAUAAGUAAUUUGCAAACCUACAAUGAGAAAAUUAAUGUCUUGGAGAUGCAGUUAACAGAGUUACGUGAAAAAUUAAAACAUGAAGCAGAAGCUGCAGCUAAGUCGCGGAAACAAGCCGCAGAGUUAAGCGCUGCUCAGGCCGCCGCGGCUGCUGUUAACGAUGGUACAGUGGCUAGCCUGCGUGCUCAGCGUGAUGCCUUGGAACGAGAACGCAGUGUCCUUGGUGAAGAAUUAGCUACUGUAAAGGCAGCUAAGCAGCGUUCCGAUGCUGUAGUCGCAGAAGCGACCAGUAGAUUGAAUGCUGCUAAUGUGGAAUUAGAGCGAUCGUCUACAAGAUUAACGCAGAUCAUGGCUGACAACAGGCAACUCACUGAGCGCGUGUCAUCAUUAGAAAAAGAUUGUGCGGCACUGACGCACGAGAUGCGAACCGCUCAGCACAUGUAUCAGCAAGAAGUACGCGCGCACCAGGACACGCAGCGGUCGCAGCUUCUCUCCAAACAGGAAGCCAAUUUAGAGCUAGUCAAAGCCCUGCAAAGCAAGCUAAACGAAGAGAAGGCGGCCCGACAGCGCGCGGACUCCGCCUGUCAAGAGAAAGACCGGCAGAUGUCCAUGCUAGGCGUGGACUACCGCCAAAUGCAGCAACGCCUUCAGAAGCUCGAAGGUGAACAUCGCCAGGAAAGUGAAAAGGUGGUGGGUUUACAAGCGGCCCUCGAGCAAGAGCGGGCCGCCCGCAGCGCGUCGUCCAGCGAGGUGGCCGCAGCGGAGGCCGCGGCGCGCGCCGCCGCCGCCGAGCGCGACGCACGCGCACGCGACCUGCAUGCCGUGCGCACCACGCUGCACGACACGUCGGAGAAGCUCGCCGCCGCCUGCGCCGAGCGGGACAUGAACUACGCGAGGAUUGAAGAAAUUCGGUGCGAACUCGAGAAUGAGCAGCGUUACUGCCUCAUGUAUCGCAAUCAGCUGAACGAGAUGCGCGCGCAGAUGGAGGACAAUACGCGCAGCGCUCGCGAUCUCGAGCAGGAGCGCGCAAGUCUUAUGCACCAGCUGCAGCUUGCCAUCGCCCGCGCAGAUUCCGAGGCUAUCGCCAGGUCGAUAGCCGAGGAGACAGUAGCUGAGCUGGAAAAGGAAAAGACGAUGAAGGAGUUAGAGAUGCGCGACGCGCUGAACGCGCAUCGCAGCGAAAUUGCCGCGCGAGACGCGCUCGUGCAAGGCCUACGCGACCGCAACCACGAAAUGUGUGCCACAGUCGAUCUGCAGCGGAAGGAGGUAGACGAGCUUCGGCGCAGUAACACGUCUCUAGCGGAGCGCGUGGCCACUUUGCAGCGGCUGCAGGAAGAAGUUGAGCGGCUCAAUAAGAAGCUCAAUUCCGAGAUCAUGCUCAAACAGCAGGCUGUUAACAAACUCGCCGAGAUCAUGAACAGGAAGGACAUGAAUCCAGCGACGACAAAGAACAAGAGCAAGAUGUCAGUCCGCAAGGACAAGGACUACCGCAAGCUACAACAAGAGCUCACUCGAGAGAAAGAGAAGUUCGACCAGCACAUCUCCAAGAUUCAGCGUGACCUGCAGGACUCGCAGCAGCAGUUGGUCGAGGAGCAGCAGACGAGACUGCGGCUUGCCAUGGAGGUUGACAGCAAAGACGCAGAAAUCGAGCAGCUAAAGGAGAAGCUAGCAGCACUAACAAGCGAGACGGCGUCGCAGUCCUCAGCGGACGCUGAGGAUGGCGAAACGGAACAAACACUCGAAGGAUGGCUCUCCGUGCCCUUCAAACAGAACAUACGCCGCCACGGCUGGAAGAAACAAUACGUCGUCGUCUCGUCAAAAAAGAUCAUCUUCUACAACUCAGAGAACGAUAAACAGAACACUACAGAUCCUGUUAUGAUUUUGGAUUUAAGCAAGGUGUUCCACGUGCGGUCAGUGACACAAGGCGACGUAAUCCGAGCGGACGCGAAGGACAUCCCGCGAAUUUUCCAGCUGCUGUACGCCGGCGAGGGAGAGGCGCGCCGCCCCGGAGAUGCGCAAGACCCGCCACAGGACAACCAAGACCACACAAGCAACACGGUGCAGCACAAGGGGCACGACCUAGUCAGCAUCACGUAUCAUAUCCCUACUGCGUGCGAGGUGUGCACGCGCCCACUCUGGCACAUGUUCCGUCCGCCGCAGGCCUACGAGUGUCGCCGCUGCCGCAUGAAGAUCCACGCGGAGCACGUGUCGGAGGGCGAGGCGGGCGGCGUGGGCGUGGCGGCGUGCAAGCUGCACGCGGACCGCGCGCGCGAGCUGCUGCUGCUGGCGCCGGGCGCGCCCGACCAGCGCCGCUGGGUGGCCCGCCUGGCGCGCCGCGUGCAGCGCCACGGCUACCGCGCCGCGCACCACACCAACCACGACCACACCAAGCUCUCGCCCAGAAAUUCAUCCCGAGAUCAACACGUCCACAAGCACAAUUGAGUCUGUCCAACAUUUGUUGAAAAUCCUGCAGUGAUCCCACUAGGAUAACAUCAAAUCAGAUUCGAUGCGAUCGAACCUGAAGGCGGCGUACAUGAACGCGUCCCAACGCAGCUCCACCUUGCCGGCCAAUGCGUCCUUGCCGCGCCAGUGACCGCCGCAACCAGACCCGUCCGGCUCCGCUUUACCCAUAUUAGGUACAUCAUGCACUGCGUUGUUGUCGAUUCUUUUUAAAAUAUUUAGUUACAAUUCAUAUACCUAAUGGCAACAUUGUAUCAAAUACUUUGAUAUAAAUAACCAACCUGUGAAAGUGAUUUUGAUUGGUGAAAUCAUUAAGUUAUUCAAAUUAAUAACGGUAUAGAAAGACGAGUUGUUUGAUAGAAUCGGCACCAACGCCAAAUACGUUGGAAUAAAGGUAUACUAGCAUCGGAAUGAUGAACGCUUUGUUUUAAUACAUUUUCAAUGAAAUGCUAUAUUGAGAAGGUGCAAAUGCUAUUAAAAUAGGAAAUAUUAUCUUCAAGGGAAAGAUAAAUAGAUUCUGAGCUAGUUCGAUCCACUGUCGACAUCAUAUUUUAUAUAAAAGAAUAAACAAAUAAUCAUGUUAAUGUUGACACUAUUUAAUCUUUCAUGGAAUUUGGAAAAAAAUGAAGCGUAACCACUUUCGUUUUACUUAAGCCAUUAUUUCAACGGUUAUCAAAAUGGACUAUGCGUUUGUUACACCAGUCAAUUGGCUUGAGUUUACUAGGAAAUAUUACCUACCACAAUUAAUAUUGAUGACAAUUAAUGUUGGUUAACAACAUUUAUUUUCUGCUCAAGAUCGUUUUUGCUGAAUAUUAUUGUCACCAUUAUGGAUAUCACUAAGAAUAUUGCAAUUUUUUAUACAGGAAUUUACUUAAGUGUUUAGAAAUACAAUUGGUUCUUUUUCGUACGUACAAUGUUAAAUGUAAACCAAACAUCAAAGAAAUCCAAUAUUUCUUCUAGGCACUUAAAUAUUAUUGAUAGUAAAAAUAUGCCUUUACACCAAUCGACUCCGAUGUCGUUUGACUUAAAAAUUGUACUGUUUUUUUUUGUAUUUUGCGUUUAGUACUAAAUUUGGGUUAUGUAAAUAUUAGGUACAAUGUGAUUGUGUUGAUAUUAUUUUGUAUUUUGCUUGUAUGAUAUGUACGUGUUGGUUUAGACACAGAUAAUGUUACUCAUCGUUGUCGCGGUGACGUGCUUACGUAGGUUUUCACGAUCGAACGGUAAAGAAUGAUUCACUUGCUUUUGUCAUGCGAUAACAAUAACCUUACGACCUGAUUUGUUUGCUUUUAUGACGGCAUAUUUUGCGACCAUAUAGACUACUUGUUAUUUACAUUACAGAAAUUAUGUUGAAAAUAUAUUUUUGUAGGAUCAUUUUGAACCAGGUGAGCAUUUCAUUAGAAUUUAUUUUUUGUUAUAUUUUUACGUACAAUUGCGGCUUGAUUCGUUCCACGGUUCACAUUUGGGAUUAUACAAAUACAUAGAUUGCACGAACUGACGAUCAACAGGUUGUUUGUUACAUCUCCAUGCACUGAAGAGACGUGUGGUCCAGUUAGUCUUGUGUCUUUGUCGCUCUUAGGCAGGCACUUAGCGGUGGACAGAGUAACACUAGAAAGCUCGACUCACAAAGAAAAUGCGUAAUAUUUUUUAAGUUGAAAUACGCGUCUGUGACGUAACAGGGGCUGUAUUUAUAUUAGAAGAUUUCUGCACGGUUUUGUACAAUGUAUUUGCACUGUUUUCAAAAGCUUUUUUAUAUUUAGACAUAAUUGAGGGCAUCGGUAUAAUUGCAUGAAUUUAGUGGCGUCGGAAUUCAAACUUCCUCUAUAGCAGCGCUUUAGAGUUAAGUUUCUCUACAAAUUAUAGAAUAUUGUAAGACUAAACUGGUAUACGUGCCGUAAGUGUCUAAUAAUUGUGGUGUAUUUGAAUUUCGACGGCCUAAAACAGUGAUACGCUAUGGAAUUGAAUUUCAUAAUUUUUAACAUAUUUACACAGACGCACUGGUUAUACAAUUUUGUGUUCUUUUGAACACAACACAGUGUAACAUUUACACCUAGUACAAUUGAUGUUUCAGGGACCUUAUUAUAGAUAAUAAGACACUCUUUGUAACUAGCAACUCAACGAAGGUCAGUGCCAUACGUUUUGUAGUGAUUCUAAAUCCGGUAGAUGCUCAAUCCAAUAGGUAUAUUAUAACAAAAUUCUGCAUGUUACUUAACUACGUAAGACUCCUACGGGCUUCCUCAAUUCACUACUGAUCAAUUUGUAUGUACUAUAAAAUACAUGUGGUUUGUAUAAAUAUUGAGCUUAUUUUUAUCAUAUUGGUAGGUAAUUCAAACAAUUUAAUUAAAAUUUGCUGCCUAAUUAGUCUGUUUAAGGGGUUCUUUAGUGCAUAUCGAACGUGUACGUGGACAAUUUACACCCGUGUGUAAUUGAUAAAUAUUUAAAGCAAUAAUAUUGUUUAUCAUUGGCUUACGUAAAGAUGUGUAUCUGACAAAAAAUCGGUGCCAAAGUUUGCCUAUUUGUCCAAAUUUCUACAUGUACAAAAAAUACGUCAUAUUAGUUAAUUUUCUUCGCGACUGCAAAGGUUGUGUCGAGACUCCAUUUUAGGGAUGAUUACAUUGUACACUUGUUAUUGUAAAAGCAAUUUUCAUAGCGCCUUCGAAAAGAAAGUUAACUGAACCGCUUAUGUUGUGAUAUAAAAGUACAAAAAUAACAGGAAAUAUUCUAGCCCGUAUCAGUUAUUGACCAGAAGCAAUUGUCAGUUAAAUACAGGCCAAAUCGUUACUUUCACGAAAUAGUCAGAUUUUUUCGUAUCUAGCUGCAUUUUGAUUGGCUAGUUUCGGUUAUUUAAUGAACCAUGAGCUACGCAAAUGUUUCGCAUUUAUUUUAUCCUUAAAUACGAUUACUUACCUGUCUGUGUAUGCUCUGGUACUAGGAUAGAGUGAAAGUAGCGGGUUGGUCCAUGGAAACAUUGCAAGUUAUAGUUUAUAUUAGAGGGAACAGGCAGGUAGCGUGCGGGGCUCGGGAUAGCUGUGAUAUUGACGUGUCGAAACACCUGUGGUGCUAGGGAAGCAAGCCUCCGGCGCAUGUUGUUACUAGUGGUUCUUGUUAAACAUAUAAAACACUCUUUAUUGCUCUACUCUUUACAUUCCUCCAUCGAAAACUAUGUUGAGUUUUGUUUAUCUUAGUUUAUAUUGACUCAAGUUCACUUCUGCUUGUCCAGUUAUUGCUUUUAUGUUUUAGAUGUAAGUUCGAAAUCAUGUACUGACUACGAAUUUCAAUUUACGUACUUAAGUGUUUGACAAAAUGCGUUUCACUGUAGUUUUAUUACUUAUUUUUGAAAUGCAUUUUAUAAAUUGUACUUUAUUAGGGCAGCUAUUGCAUUGUUCGUGUUUGUUUCAUUCCAUAUUAUAGAUUUUUUUUGUUACACCACGCAUUUGGAAAUGGUUUAUUUGCCAAAGAAAAAAAUACUAAAUUGCAAUCUAUGCCGUGUUUUAAAUAGUUCGCGUUAUAUUCCAUGCUUGUCAUUAUUAAUUAAAUCAUCGUAAUAAUUAUUAUAAUAAUACUGUUAUUUACAUAUGCAUAAUUAUAAACUUGAUUUUGUAGUGUGACAUUUUGUUGAAGUAUUUUUUUAACCGCGUCGCUUGAAAGACGACGGUAUCAGAAAUACUUCCAAAUUGUCUUCUAACACUUAACAGUAAUGGACAAUGUAGAAUCAUAAUUAUGUGAAUUAUUUAUUAUUCAAUUGACAUUUCUUAUUGUAACACUUUAUUUAUCGAUCUAAAUUUGUAAGUUCCUAACUAGCUAGAUUCUCAUUUGUAAAGAAAACUUAUCAAGUAGCUUCGCGCUUAUUCGGUAACAAUUUAUCAUUUAGUGGGUAUAAUUUAUAUUAUGAUAUUGUUGAAUCUAUGUUUGGAUUAUGGUAGGGAUUCAAAUGGUUUCUUUGUAUUAUUGCGAGAUGCUCGGGUCCUUCCUCGGGGCGCGAGGUCAUUCGAGCAUUUAUUGUACUAUUUAUACUUUAUAUACUAUGUCAUGCAAUACUUACAUAUAAUAAUGAUACCACGUGCCUUAGCUAACGGCCCACUCCCAUAUCACCUAGGCAUACUAUGUUAUAUGUAUCAGUAGUUAUUUUAAUGUACAUAUGUUUUGAAAUAAACCAAUAUUUUAUGGAUUUUUUUAAGAAUUUGUAUAUUGUAAAGAUUAUUAAUUUUAUCAUAAAAUUAAUGCCUAGCUACUAAGUGCUACAUUUGUGAAAAAUAAA